rnacentral:lncRNA from 1 species
GGAAUCCUUUUCUUUUCCCCGCUAUGCAGUCGCUUGCGUCAGAGAGACCAGGAUACGCGGGAAAAAAGCAGAGAGAAAAAGGCAAACAGCAGACGGCAACGCGCACGAGAAACAACGAGAACGAUCAAAUGACACAAACAAGCGCGUCAAGAAACACGAGGCCUGCGAGCGGUCGCGUCCAGCCGAGACCGAGGCCCACAGACAGACGAAAAGGCGGGUUGUUUUGCGCGCGUGCGGUCGCAAGACGCUGCGAUUGGCCGUGACGUGCGCGUGUGCCGUCGUCGUUUGUUCUUUGGGCGCGUCGCCUUUCUGUUUGUCGAGUCGUCCUUUUGUUCCGGUCGGACGUCUCGGUCCGUCUCGUCGACGCGCGCCAACAAACCGCUUCGUUUUUGUGCCGUUGUGCGGCGCGCCGACCAACCGGGACGAAGAAAAAUGCAGCAAAGAAAAAAGGGCGAAACAGCGGCGGCGUCCGUGCGCGGGCGAUCGCGGUUGUCGCAUCGGGGAAGAAACCCGGUUCGCCGCAGUUCCCAGACUUUUGAAAUGGAGGGCGAAGAUGAAGCCAUGAACGGUCGAAAAAAAGGACAUUCACGGACGGCUCAUGGGCCGUUGCCCCGACAAGUGGAACAGACGACAUCCGUGCGCCUGCCGGCUCUUUCUCUCGGGCGCGCCCAAUGCUUUGGAUAGACGAGACAACGGCACGAGAGGACAUCCCUCGCACUGCGACGCUUUUUUCUGAUGCCUUCUUUUCUAACGAAUUCUUUCUUUUUUUUUUGAGACUUUGGGGAUCAAGCACAGGGAAAGAAUGUGUUUUGGUAUUGUGCGGGCAGAGGCCGACGCGCUGUGUUGUCCACAAAAGACUUUUGUGUUGUCUGACAAAAAAAGAAAGUAUUUCCG